CGGGGGGGUCGGAAGGGAGCCGCCAAGUCAUCACUUCUAUAAAUGUGUCCGUUGAAACUACAAAGGUGGAGACGCAUACCACCCACACUGUCAACUCUGGAUGGGAGGCCUUCUAAACGCCUUGAAGAGAUGCAGGCUGCAGUUUGUCCACACUGACUGCCCCCGACCAUUUGGGAAAGGAAAUUAUUUUCGCUUUUGAUUGACACCCAUAGAAACAGCCAAUUUUAGCAUCAGACUAGAGGCUUAUCCUCCACGGGUUUCCUCUAAGAGGGAAAAGGGAAACACGG